CCCUUAGAUGUUCUGGGCCGCACGCGCGCUACAAUGAUGCAUUCAACGAGUUUAUAACCUUGGUUGAAAAGCCUGGGUAAUCUUUUGAACUUUCGUCGUGAUGGGGCUAGACCCUUGCAAUUAUUGGUCUCCAACGAGGAAUUCCUAGUAAACGCAAGUCAUCAGCUUGCACUGAUUACGUCCCUGCCCUUUGUACACACCGCCCGUCGCACCUACCGAUUGAAUGGUCCGGUGAAAUCUUCGGAUUGAGACUUUGAUUUCUUCACGGAAAACGCUGUUUUAAAAAGUUGAUUAAACCUUACCAUUUAGAGGAAGGUGAAGUCGUAACA
rnacentral:rRNA from 1 species